ensembl:lncRNA
GUGAACUUUUCCCUCAUUGAAAAUGUCCCUUCACCAAGUACAGGUGAUGAGCUUCAAAUUGGUGGUCAUUCUGUUGUUCAGUUGUGUCCAACUCUUUUGAGACCCCAUGGACUGCAGCACGCCAGGCUUCCCUGUCCUUCACCAUCUCCUGGAGUUUGCUCAAACUCAGAUUCCAUUGGUGAUGCCAUCCAACCUACUCACCCUCUGUCCUCCCAUUCUCCUGCCUUCAAUCUUUCCCAGCAUCAGGUCUUUCCCAAUGAGUCUGCUCUUCGCAUCAGGUGGCCAAAGUAUUAGAGCUUCAGAAUGGCCCCAGUUGGGUCAUUCUGUAGCCCCUCAAAGUAGAAAAUCUUUUGUCAUGUGCCACCUCUCGCUGGUAGGAGCAACCUCACCUUGCAUCUUGGCAUAGAUCAACCCAUGACUGGCUUUCAGAGCUGGCUUUCAGCAAACCCUUAUUUGCCUUGAUUUGUUUAAUUGUUUUUAUAUUGCAUCCUGUUGAUUGUAGGGUCAAAAUGCCUUAAAAUUUUGCUUUGAAUAGAAAAGGAAUUUAAAGAUACACAGAGCUGAAUUGGAUCCUUAACCCACAAAAUAAGAAUUUUGCAUCUGUCUCUGUUCAGUCUCUUUCUCUCCACCUUCCACUCUCCCUUUACCUCCAGUUUUUAAUAUUUAUCCCUAUCCCACCUUCAUGCCCAAAGGCUGUAAGUUUAGCAUAACUCUCAUUUGGGCCUUUUCUCUUUUAUCAACUAAGUGCAGGAAUUUUCAAAUAUUAACUAUGAUAAGUUACUGUGAAAUAGUGAGACAGACCUUUGGGCGAUAAUCCUUUCAUCCAAAAGAAGGGUGAACCUUUGAACAGUUCAUUUACUAGGUUAUGCACCUCUUCAAAUGAAUCUACAUAUACCCCAACUUUUUUUUAGCCUGAGGUUUUUGAGGUUGCUUGGAGAGAUAAUGAACCUAUUCCAUGAGGAAAUAGGUUGCCUUGCUAAGAGAUGACUCUCUGAGAUACAUUUUUAUUCCUUAGGUGUAACUUCUUUCCAUGUUUUAGCUGCAUAACCUUUAUCCCUCCAGCCUUCCACUGCUCUGCUGGUUCUGAUGUAGAAAUUAGCUAGGGGAAGGUUUGAAUAAGAGUGUUGUUAAGAGUCCAACAGGAAGUGGAUAGAUUUUCUUAGAUUAUUUUAUGGGCUGUACAUUGUCAUCGUAGGUACACUGGCUAAGUGCAAUAACACCCAUGAAUACAGCCAAUCAGGGCAAAGAAAGCCAGAUUCUAGAUGUAAACUCCCUUCAUCUAAGCUAUCUGUUGGUGUAAAAGGUGAAAUGUGCUACAUUCCUAAGCUUGGUGCUCAAAAUUCUGUUUAUUGUGUUUCAUCUGAGUUACCAACUGCAUGCCCCUAGAGGCAAGACAGACAGACAAUAGAAGACAGCGCUCACUGUAGUAAACCAGAAGUGCGUAGCCUGUCAUCAGGGGACAGCCAUCCACCAACCUCCUCCUAAUGAUGCCAUGCAGAUUUUGACACCAGCAUUUCUCGAUCCUCUGAUUUUUCAGAGGAAGCAGAAACAUGGGUUAUUUUAUGUGAAAUGUCCCCAUUAAUAAAUGUUUGCCAUUAUUGUGUAAAAAUUUAAAACAAUAAUUAGGAGAAGGCAAUGGCAACCCACUCCAGUACUCUUGCCUGGAAAAUCCCAUGGAUGGAGGAGCCUGGAAGGCUGCAGUCCAUGGGAUCACUGAGGGUCGGACUCGACUAAGUGACUUCACUUUCACUUUUCACUUUCACGCAUUGGAGAAGGAAAUGGCAACCCACUCCAGUGUUCUUGCCUGGAGAAUCCUAGGGAUGGGGGAGCCUGGUGGGCUGCCGUCUAUGGGGUUGCACAGAGUUGGAC